GUUGUAUGACAUUCAGAAACCAAUACACCAACAACUUACCUCUGAGCCCGCGCGUGCCGUCGAUAUGGGCAGGUGGGGCAGCGAACUCCCUGCAAAAGCAUGCUCCCAAGAAAAUAGUUCCUCAGUAAAUCAUUGCUCCAAGUUUAUUUUUAAUAAUGUGAUUGUCACAUUAUCUAUCUAUAGUUUCUGUAGGCUUUUCAAAUAUUUUUGGAAGAUGGAGGCGAUUCUAGUUGAGUUUAAUGUGUCAUGCGAUGUUGGGGCAGGGCAGCUCAGCGACCUCGUUCCUCCGUAUGUUUCUCGCAUAACCCUGCAGGCUGCAAUAAGAAUUGCAAUCCGCGCUAUAAGACGCCCGUAUGGUCGUAAAGUAGUCUGCCCCAUGGUCAUAUUCUAGGACUGCUGUUGUUUUAUCUCGAAUUAUUCCACCAGUAUCUUUCAUCUUUUGGCAGACAUGGCGAGUGGUGUUGCACCUGCGGUUAACACUGUUGAGUCUCUGUUAAAAAAAACAUUUGAUAGGUUAAAAUUUGAAGAUAAAUUAGCCAUCAAACAACUUGGACCAGACAAACCGGAUAUUCGUAUUAACCAACAAACGAAGGAUAGAGGGAAAAGCGUACAACAGAACUUUCUCCCGAGCAUGGUAUGAGAAGAGAAAAUGGCUAUGUGGUUGCUCAAAAAGAAACUCAGUUUUUUGUUGUAAAAAAUGUCAAUUGUAUGCCUGAUUUCAUACCUGAUUCAAACAGAGCUGUUAUUGAAAAAUACCUGAUUUCAACAGAAUUGUUAUGUUGAAAUUUGCACACAUGAGAUCGUAGGGCCAAGUUCCUGUAUAAAUGAUCGAAGGUCUGAUAGCUUGAUUGUUGAUUUCUCAUAAGCUAUGUCUGUUUGUUUGAUGUUGCCAAAUGCGUUCUGUAUAGGCCUGCCUAUCUACGUUUUAUUUCUACUUUUCAUUAAUUCAUUUGCAAUGCACUUGCUAAGCCUAUGCUUUUUAUUGACAAAAAAAAGACAUUCAGAUAUUCGGGUGGAGUUGUUAAAAUAUACAUAAUAUAAUAUAUAUAAAUUGUGGUUGUGGUCAUACGCCAGUAAUUUCUGCCCCACCGAAAUGAAGGGGCACCGCACGCUACUGAUACAAAUACAAUAUAAAGACGCUAAAUACUCACAGCUCACUUCUCCUUGUUUAUUUUCACUCCCGUCAAAUUAUUCAAAAACAACGUAGACUGACGCAACUGUGACGCAAAAUGUCGACCUGCCGACAUUCUUCUCUGUGGAAAUGUGCAAAUUUCCCGACUCGUGUGCAAAUUUCCCGACUCGUCCUCUGAGGAGCUGGACUGGGUAGCCCCGCCCAUUCUGCCAGCGAUUUGAGUUCGCCAUGCACAAGGGUCUUGAGAAGAGCAAUACAUUUCUUUCUGCUUCCGAAACGUUUUUGCGGGAGCCAAUCACCAUGCUGGCUUUUCCCCUUGGGGCACCAUUGGCUGACGAUGACGACAGGGAAGCGACGGCAAGCAGCCAAUCGUGUACAGAGUCAGUUGAACUAGGCCCGUUGAUCACGCCUCUUGUGCUGAAGAAAAUGACAGCAGCUUGUAACCCGUCAAGAAAGAUAGUAACACAAAAGGAAAUAAUGGGUUGUAUGUCAUUCAGAAACCAAUCGACCAACAACUUACUGUUUCAUUGUGUUUGCAACUGUGUUUGCUUAGUUGUGCUUUAUAUCUCUAUUGUAUUACAACUUUUUAUCUCUACAUCAAUAAAAAAAUUAUAAUAGAUGAAUCGAUAACAAUUCAUGAUGCUGUUUAUUACCCUUGUUUACAACAUGCGUGUACCCUCAGCCAUCCCGGAAAACCCUUCUAUGGUUGGACGUCGACGCAACGCAACGACCACGCAGUCGCUCUGACUCCGUCGUGAACCUUUUUUGGUCCUGCGUCGGGUUUACGUUAGCGGACCAAUCACAGCCCUUCCUACUGCGUUGCAUCGACGCAAGGUUACAAUUUUUGUGAGGCGCCACCAUCGCAAGGCCUGACGUGCGCCUCCAAAAACAUGUAACCUUGCGUCAAGGCAUGCCGCAAAUGUCCUUCAAUGUAUCUUAAUGGUCGCCAUAACAUAAGUUCAGAAAUGUCUUGGAUGCUGCACGCCAACUGGCAUAUUAUUGACACCUGUUUGUGUCAUCUUUUGUAUUGAUAUCCACACAUCGGCUUAUAGCAGCAAGCGACUUGAUUGGCUGCUGUUUGGUAGAUUUCUGCUUCCCUCCUCACCUCACUGACCCAGAGCUACGCCCCUUUAUUGCCCCCUUCAUUUUCCCAAUUAGCCCAUAUCAAUCAGUUAAUUACUCCCUGCCCUGCCACACACUAUUUAAGCCUCACCUGUGACCACACCCCUUUCCUUUGUUCGGAGACACUGAACACCUUGAGAGCUCUACCUUGAACUCCUUGUGUGCGCAUACAAAGAAUCUGAGUUGUUUUGUGGGCAAUGGAUUUUGUUAUGUAACCUUAUAAGGCUUGUACGAUUUAAUGAACUGAACUUGUGGCAAUGCAUUGUGGAGCUGAUUGUUGUUCAUUUUGUUUGCUUCCCAGAAACCACACAUAUCCUGCCUUAAGGCCUGAUUCCACCGGACGCGUUACGGCAGCGUUACGGCUGCGGCACGUCUUGGCCGCGGUCACCGCAGCAGAUAGGUUCCACUCUAAUCAAUGAGACCAUUUCCACCGGGCGCGGUUGCAGAACGUCUCAGCAGCGUCCCAGGAGCGGCUCGCCGUGCCGCAGCGCUAUCAUUCCGUAGGAUUUCUAUUUUUGCCGCAAGCCGUUGCUGAACCGCGUCAAUUUCAACAGAGCAGAUCGAGCAGGGCAGGAAAUGAAAAAGUAAAAGCCAUAGAGCAUCCGGUCAAUUUUCAAAAUAAAACACAAUACUCGGCUCAUGUAGCCUAUCACAACUUCACAUCAUCAUUAUUACGUCAUGACCGGUGGCACCAGGUCAGCAGUCAAUCAAUCAAAGAGGUCUUAGAGGGUCGGCAACAUGGACGACGAGAGACAUAUUGUCGAAGUUCAGCAACAUGAAGUCAUUUAUGUACCAAAUCAUCCUUUUUAUAAUAACAAUGGCCAGAAGGACAAAGCGUGGCAUUUAAUUGCAGUAGAUUUGGGAGUGGAAGGUGAGUACAUUAGGUUUAGGAUUAUCGCGUGAUCUCGUGUGAAUACGGCUGGCUCGGCCGGCUCUGCCGUAACGCGCCCGGUGGAAAUGCAAGCAGGGCAGAGUCGCAGCCCUUCCGUGCCGCAGCCGUAACGCAGCCGUAACGCUGCCGUAACGCGUCCGGUGGCAUCUCGGGGUCAGCCACACAUACCUUAGCCACCAGUGUUGGGAACAUUACUUUAGAAAAGUAAUUAGUUAUAGUUACUCACUACUUGUUCCAAAAAGUAACUGAGUUAGUACCUGAAUUACUCUAUAAUAAAAGUAACAAGUUCCCAGGGAAAGUAACUAUUUGCGUUACUGUAAAAAAAAUAAGUUGCUAUUUCAAAGAAUUUGGAUUUGGAUUUUUUAAAUGGUUGAACUGCCGAUGCAAGGCCCUGAUAUACUUCCAACUGAAUUUGAAUUUGCUUGGUUGCUAAGGCUGUGGAGCAUCUGCCAAAUACUACGGAAAAUGCCAACUUUUCAUCGGAUUGCUCCGGACUCGCCAUUUCUGCUGCUUAAUCGAAUCAGUUUGGUGUGUGCGUGUGCGGCGCGCGUGUCCUGGC